AGAAAUACAAGGUAAUUAGAAAAAGAACCCUAAUAGUUUCUUCCCUAAACCAGCACAAGGUAAUGUGCAAGAUAGUCUUCAAGCCAGACUGCACGGCACCCUGCGAGGCAGCAGGGUGUGGAUUUAAAGGAAAUAAGAUGGGCUUAUCAGCAUGUAUAUCAGGACAGCAGUUUAUUAGCUAUCACUACAGGUCUUCUGGCUUUCACGUGUAUCAGGUAUCUUCAUCUUGUAAAAGAAAUGCAAAGGAAGAUACGAAACCAGGUUCUUGUCCUACAUCUGCUGCCUGUUGACUCCAUCUGUGCAGGUUAUCUGAUUACUAAAGGCAGGUUCUGUCAGUGUGAAGGCUGUAGAAUAAAUAAGAGAAACAGGUCAGCAGGUUCUGGUAACUUCAACAUGCCACGUGGGUCUGGAGUGACCUUUCAAGAGUGGUCCAGAAGAGAGUCUGAUACCUAAGACUGCUAUUUUUUAUUUUAAACUGAAGUAGUGGCUAAGCACUGUGCCCACAGGAAGAGAAGAGAAAGUUACAGUGAGAGGGAUGGGAAGAGAAGAAGGCAGGAAACUUCUGCAGACAGCUCUGAUUCGCUGAUGCUUUGGUGACUCACUGUCAGUUUGAUGCUGGAAUGGCUUGGUGGGAAGCAGAGGAGCUGUGUGGAUGCAAGAUCUCUUCAAGGAAUCACACAAGGAGGUGUCCAGUCAGUGCUGCUGUGCUGGGAGCUGCACACGGCCCUUGCAUAUCAACCAUGAGGAGCAGGUGCACGACGAUCAACUCGAGGCCUCAGACUGGAACUGUUGGCCAGUGACAGCUUCCACAGGCAAAGAUCAGUGGCCCCUUUGGAAAAAACUGUUCCAUUUGUGUCUGGAAGAAGAGCUCUGUGGUCAGUAAGUGCUCUCGCGUCCCCAGGCCAACAGCAGUGGAAGAGGAGAGUCAACGGCAGAGGAGUCUCUGCUUUAAUAGCAGUGCCCAAGUUGGACUUCAGGGGCCAAUAGCAAGCACUGCAUGACCCUGCAUUUCUGAUUCCAUAGGCUGUAUUAUUGGAGACUUCUGUGUUUGCAGUGUGGGAGCAAUAAAGAGCAAAGGCAAGAAAUAAAGAGCCUCCGG
rnacentral:lncRNA from 1 species